AAAGAACUUUGAAAGGAGAGUUAAGAGUCCCUGAAACCGAUGAGUGGUAAGAGUACGGAUCGCGCCCAAUCCCUGUGGCUUGCUUCGGUUCGGCUGCAGGUCGUCUGGACGGAGUAGCUCCGACUACUGGUCAUUUCAGACUCUGGCUUGGCUGUGCAGAUCGGAGAUGCUUCGUAACAGUUCUAGAUGUUGAGCGGACCAGCUUUCGUCUCUGUUAAAGGACUUUCUACUUCGGUGGGGAGUUCUUGGCGGCGAUGUGGGGCUGUAUGUUCUGCAUUCAAUGGACUGGUUCUAGACACAGCGAAUCCGCACUACCCGUCUUGAAACACGGACCAAGGAGUCUAACACGUGCGCAAGCCUUAGGGUGUCAAACCCACAAGGCGUACUGAAAGGGAGACGCGUGAUCCCCUUGAGGGUGCAACGCGGCCCGGUCCUGAUUUUAUCGAGAAAGGGAUUUGAGGUUAAGUGCACUUGUUGGGACCCGAAAGAUGGUGAACUAUGCCUGGAUAGGACGAAGCCGGGGGAAACCUCGGUGGAGGUCCGUUGCGGUGUUGACGUGCAAAUCGCUCGUCAAAGCUGGGUAUAGGGGCGAAAGNNNNNNNNNNCCAUCGAACCAUCUAGUAGCUGGUUCACUCCGAAGUUUCCCUCAGGAUAGCUGGAACCAUAAUAGGAGUUGCGCCAGGUAAAGCGAAUGAUUGGAGGCAUGGGGGAAAUCGUUUCCUUCACCUAUUCUCAAACUUUAAAUGGGCGCGAACCCGGGGUUACUUUAUUGAACCCUGGAGCAGAAUCCUGGUUCUAAGUGGGCCACUUCUGGUAAGCAGGACUGGCGACGCGGGAUGAACCGAGAGCUGACUUAAGGUAUCCGAGUGUUCGCUCAUCAGAUCCCACAAAGGGUGUCGGUGCAUCUAGACAGCAGGACGGUGGCCAUGGAAGUCGGCAUCCACUUUCCUAGUGGCUGAACCCACUUUCCUAGUGGCUGAACCCCCUUUUCUAGUGGCUGAACCCACUUUUCUAGUGGGUGAACCC
rnacentral:rRNA from 1 species